UACGUAGGGGGCGAGCGUUGUCCGGAUUUAUUGGGCGUAAAGAACUCGUAGGCGGUUUGGUAAGUUGGAUGUGAAAUCUCCAGGCUCAACUUGGAGGGGUCAUUCGAUACUGCCAUGACUAGAGUUCGGUAGGGGAGUGUGGAAUUCCUGGUGGAGCGGUGAAAUGCGCAGAUAUCAGGAGGAACACCCGUAGCGAAGGCGGCACUCUGGGCCGGAACUGACGCUGAGGAGCGAAAGCGUGGGGAGCGAACAGG
rnacentral:rRNA from 1 species